CGGGCCUCUGUAUGGUUCCCAGCAACAAUACUGUAAAAAUAAUAAUCUCGACUUUUGUCCACGUCCAUGAUUGAGAAUUCUACAGAAAAAGAAAUCAACAAACACUUUGACUGAAAGAAGUCGACACAAAUAUUAAUAUGGCAGUUGGCAAUGAAGACAAAUAUAUUCCGGAGUCGGACGAUGCAGUACCCAUACAAUCUAUUCCAAAUGAGUUACGUUGUGUAAAGUGUCUGGUUAAUGCUAGAAAUAUUGUCUUCGUGAAGUGUGGACACUUAUUGUUUUGCACAGUUUGUGCCAGAUUUUGCUACGCCUGUCCUUGCGGUGAAAAAGUAAAGGCGUAUCUACCCGUGAAAUACGAAUAAACACGGAAAGAAAAAUGGAAUGCAUCAUAUAUUGGACUGGAGCUUACUAUGUAGCACCUGGAAAAUGAACCAUCUAAACUAUGACUGACAAUAGCUGAUAUAUAGUUUUCAGGAAUAAUACAAUAUUUGGAAUUUUGUGCUGGAGUGACAAUGUGUUCAUUUUUAUUUUUUUGUGCAUUAUUUAUGUAUUUUUAUAUAAAAAACAAACAGACAAAAAAAACAACAUUUCAUUUGAUCAGUUAAAGCAUUAUUACCAUAACUUUUUUAAGAAUAUAUUUCAACUAUAUUGAUUCAACAUCUGAAAAUCAUAAAUUCAUAAGAGUAAACCUUCAUAUCUGACAAUUCCAAGAUGUAUCAUUGUUUCUUUUCCAAGUGCAAAACACAUAUAUAUAAUUAUUACAAUAUCCUUAGAGACAAAAGACUGUGCCAUCCACAACUGGAAAUAAAUCAUAUUUUACUACUUAUAAUUAUUCACACAGUUUUGUUAGGUUAUAUUUCUAAAAAAAAACCACUAUAUUUUAGGUCCAUACACUUAUUCUGAUUUUUAGUGUUAUAGCAUAUAAACAUCAUUGUUUUCAACAUCUUUCCAUAUAUGAUACAUUUCACAAGCUAUAAACAUGUCUUUUCUC